GAUGAACGCUGGCGGCGUGCCUAAUACAUGCAAGUAGAACGCUGAAGCUUGGUGCUUGCACCGAGCGGAUGAGUUGCGAACGGGUGAGUAACGCGUAGGUAACCUGCCUGGUAGCGGGGGAUAACUAUUGGAAACGAUAGCUAAUACCGCAUAACAGUAGAUAUUGCAUGAUAUCUGCUUGAAAGGUGCAAUUGCAUCACUACCAGAUGGACCUGCGUUGUAUUAGCUAGUUGGUGAGGUAACGGCUCACCAAGGCGACGAUACAUAGCCGACCUGAGAGGGUGAUCGGCCACACUGGGACUGAGACACGGCCCAGACUCCUACGGGAGGCAGCAGUAGGGAAUCUUCGGCAAUGGACGGAAGUCUGACCGAGCAACGCCGCGUGAGUGAAGAAGGUUUUCGGAUCGUAAAGCUCUGUUGUAAGAGAAGAACGAGUGUGAGAGUGGAAAGUUCACACUGUGACG
rnacentral:rRNA from 1 species